GCUAAAGGGAGACAUAUAGAGAGGGAGAGGGAGAAAAGUAGAAGGAGGAGGGGGUUCUCCAGUGGGGAGUGUAGGUUAGGAGAGUGAGACAUUUACACCUGUGACAUUUAUUUUUUUUAUAACAUUUUCUAACAUAAAUGACUAAGUGAUAUAUUAAACGUUUAAGCCAUUUUUUUUUUUUUUUUUUUUUUUUUAAAAGAAGAGCCAGGGGGUAAUGGAGGGUUCCCGAAAUAUCUGCCCAUCUAUGUAUAGUUUGUCCACAACCAGUGCAGUCCGUUUACCUUUCUGUCUGUGUUCUUUCAUGAUGGGAUAUAAUACUUUGCGCCUCUCGUUGAUUUCCCAAAGGUUAUUACUGAGGAUUUUAAACAAAAACAUUCAGGCGAACAGUUAACAUCAUAGGGUGCCUGACAUGUUUGUUUUUUUUCUGGGUCGAUACAGAUUUUUUGAGCAACACAUAAAGUUAAGUUAAAAUUAAAAUAAUCACGAGUUGCAGCCUUUGCUUAUUUAUGUUUUACAUGCUGAAGUUGUCCGUGGAUUAAGGUGAUUGAGAACAGGCGAGUCAACCUCCACACCUGUGAGAGAGAUGGAUGGAUGGAUGGACAGAUGGAUAUAGAUAGGCAGAUGGAUGGAUGGAUGGAUGGAUAGGUAGGUAGGUAGGUAUAUGGACCAUAGAUAGAUGGAUGGAUAGGUAGAUCCUUCAGUGAUCCUGCAGUGGGGAAAUUUUCAGUGUGGCAGUAGCAGAUAGGAAAAAAAGUAAAAAAAAAAAAAAAAAAAGCAGCACUCAGUGCACAGAUAUAAAUAGAUGCUUUCUCCUUAGAGAAGAAAUAGAAAUGCUUGUUAAAAAAAAAAAACCUGUGAAAUUGCACAUAUUGACUUAUUUACAUUUUAUUGCAGUUACUUCAUGGGUGAUCUGAACUACUGGGAGCAGGCUUGAUUGAACACAGUCUGACUGCUGCAGGAAGGAAGGACCUCCUUCAAACAUCGUGGGUGAAGCAGUCUGUCCCUGAAGGAGCUGCCGGUGAUGGUCCUGUUUCCUGCAGGGGGUGGGAGAUGUCCUCCAUGAUAGACAACAGCUUUGUCAUCAUCCUCCUGUCUACCACCAGCCCAGGACAGAGCUUGCUUUCUUAACCAGUUUCUUUAGUCUCUUCCUGUCUGCAGCCGUGAUGCUGCUGCUCCAGCAGACCAGUCCAUACAGGAUGGCUGAUACCACCACACAACCAUAAAAGGUCCUCAGAAUUGCUCCCUGCACCCCGAAGGACCUCAGUUUCCUGAGCAGGUGAAGUCUGUUCUGACCUUUCUUAUACCGUGCAUUGGUGUUCUAUCUCUAGACAUGUUUGAAUGUCUUUAUCAAUAAAUGCUCAAACACAUGUUGAGUGUCAGCUCAGCUCUUUGUUCCAUACAUGUAAAUGUUCCUAUGUGAUUGGUGUCGUGCAGUCGGAGUGUAAAGAAUUGAAGCUGUCAGAGGCUUUCUGUGGUGAAGAGGCUGCAGGACAUCAGCUGCUCCAACAGUUUCCAUGAAUUCCUCUGGAACCAGCACUGCUUCUCCCUGUGCCGCCGGUGUACCGUUAGAGACAAAACAUCCUCCCCUCCACUCCUUCUGAAUUUCAUCCACAAUUUUCUCGUCCCACCUGGUCUCCUGUAAACACAUCACCUUUACUUUUCUCCUCCC
ensembl:lncRNA